AAACCCACUUCUGCUGGGGUAUUAGCAGAGUUGCAAUGGAGCAUGUUAAAUUUGGUUACGCGCGAUAUGGACGCCGACCCUAAUUCUGGUUGGCCUUAUAAUUGGCAAGGGUGGAGAAGUCAUAAUAAAUAUGCAAGCUUCUAGUGUUGCACGAAUUCAGGUGAUACCUCUGCAUCUUCCUCCAGGUGACACAUCAACUGAAAGAACAUUGAAAAUUGAUAGGACACCUGAGCAAAUUGAGUCUGCAAAGGAGUUGGUUAAUCAAAUCAUCAGUGGAGAGGGUUAGUGUCUAUUGGACCAUUGGUGACACCAACAUGAAUCCCUUUGUCGGUGUUCCCUCAGCAUGCCCUGGUAUGGUUCUAAAUCUCAGAUAUUUAUUAUCAAGGGUAGUAAGUCUCCUACUAUAUUAUUUGACUAUAGUGUCAUUAUUAGACUGAAUAUUGGAUUGUCUUGAAAAGGUUUCAACUUGGUCACUUGUGCUUUUCAGUUCAUAUCUCAACAAGAACCUUUAUGUACUUGGAAUAGUAUUUUAUCGUCGGAUCUUAUACUUGACUUUCAUUUGGCAUCAGUAUACUGAAAGUUGCCUAUCGUGCACCUCUUUAA